rnacentral:rRNA from 1 species
UGAGUAACACGUAGGUAACCUGCCCAGAAGCGGGGGACAACAUUUGGAAACAGAUGCUAAUACCGCAUAACAACGUUGUUCGCAUGAACAACGCUUAAAAGAUGGCUUCUCGCUAUCACUUCUGGAUGGACCUGCGGUGCAUUAGCUUGUUGGUGGGGUAACGGCCUACCAAGGCGAUGAUGCAUAGCCGAGUUGAGAGACUGAUCGGCCACAAUGGGACUGAGACACGGCCCAUACUCCUACGGGAGGCAGCAGUAGGGAAUCUUCCACAAUGGGCGCAAGCCUGAUGGAGCAACACCGCGUGAGUGAAGAAGGGUUUCGGCUCGUAAAGCUCUGUUG